rnacentral:rRNA from 1 species
AUUGAACGCUGGCGGCAGGCUUAACACAUGCAAGUCGAGCGGGGGAAGGUAGCUUGCUACCGGACCUAGCGGCGGACGGGUGAGUAAUGCUUAGGAAUCUGCCUAUUAGUGGGGGACAACAUCUCGAAAGGGAUGCUAAUACCGCAUACGUCCUACGGGAGAAAGCAGGGGAUCUUCGGACCUUGCGCUAAUAGAUGAGCCUAAGUCAGAUUAGCUAGCUGGUGGGGUAAAGGCCUACCAAGGCGACGAUCUGUAGCGGGUCUGAGAGGAUGAUCCGCCACACUGGGACGGAGACACGGCCCAGACUCCUACGGGAGGCAGCAGUGGGGAAUAUUGGACAAUGGGGGGAACCCUGAUCCAGCCAUGCCGCGUGUGUGAAGAAGGCCUUAUGGUUGUAAAGCACUUUAAGCGAGGAGGAGGCUACUUUAGUUAAUACCUAGAGAUAGUGGACGUUACUCGCAGAAUAAGCACCGGCUAACUCUGUGCCAGCCGCCGCAGUAC